GAAAAGCAAAAAGGAACGGCAAACCGGAAGAUCCAUAUCUAACAAGCCAUGGCUUUGCGUUGCAAGUUUUGCUUCAGGAAGAAGAGCGGCAUCGGCAGUAGCAGAAACGAGCAGAAGCAUUAGCGUCAUACCGUCGUUCGUUUUCAGAGAGAAUCCUUACAGUUUAUGGAGUUCCCCCGGCGGACGUUGUGGCUUUGGCGGAUCUACUGGAGAUUUGCCAAGGACUUCUGCUGUAGACGGAUCUACUGGAGAUUUGCCAGGGACUUCUGCUGCAGAACACCCAACAUUUAGCUAAUUUAUGAAAUACUUGCUGUCCAAAGCGGAAGCCACAUGACGUGCUAUCUUUGACCUUUGAUGGGGGCUCAUUGUCAACAACAAAUGAAUAAUUGUUGUCCUGCUACAGUCCAAAGCGGAAGCCACACGAAUUGUUGUUAUCUUUGACCUUUGAAGGAGGCUCAUCGCCAACAACAAAUGAACAAUUGGUUGUCUUGCUACAGUCCAAAGCGGAAGAAGCCACAUGAAUUGCUAUCUUUGACCUUUGAUGGAGGCUCAUUGUCAACAACAAAUGAACAUUUGUUGUCCUGCUAUCUUUGACCUUUGAUGGAGGCCUAACUUGCGAGAUGCUACACCGUUCAUGUCUUCUCCGGCGUAAGGGAUGUACACAGAAACGAUGGCCAAGAAGGUAUCAACUGUGAAUCAAAAAAUUCUGUUCAGGAUAAGAUUGGAAAUUUAAAGUUUUCUUCUUCUCAAUCAAUUAGGAUCAUCGUUUUGGUUUUAGCU